GUGAUUGAUUACUUUCAUCUGCCUAAGCCUUGGUGGUGAAGUUUUACACGGUUGCUGUGCUGGUGGGAAGUAGUACGUGUAUAUAUGGUGAAAUAGUCGAGGUGCACGCAAGUUGAUUGAUCUAGACGCCACUCUUAAUGAAAAAAAGAUAGAUGUCUGACAGUGGAAUUGUAUCAAUUCAACUCCUUGCACCUGAAUAAUGAAAACCAACAGGGGGAAA
rnacentral:misc_RNA from 1 species